UGCAAGUCGAGCGGAUGAAGGGAGCUUGCUCCCGGAUUCAGCGGCGGACGGGUGAGUAAUGCCUAGGAAUCUGCCUGGUAGUGGGGGACAACGUUUCGAAAGGAACGCUAAUACCGCAUACGUCCUACGGGAGAAAGCAGGGGACCUUCGGGCCUUGCGCUAUCAGAUGAGCCUAGGUCGGAUUAGCUAGUUGGUGAGGUAAUGGCUCACCAAGGCGACGAUCCGUAACUGGUCUGAGAGGAUGAUCAGUCACACUGGAACUGAGACACGGUCCAGACUCCUACGGGAGGCAGCAGUGGGGAAUAUUGGACAAUGGGCGAAAGCCUGAUCCAGCCAUGCCGCGUGUGUGAAGAAGGUCUUCGGAUUGUAAAGCACUUUAAGUUGGGAGGAAGGGUUGUAGAUUAAUACUCUGCAAUUUUGACGUUACCGACAGAAUAAGCACCGGCUAACUCUGUGCCAGCAGCCGCGGUAAUACAGAGGGUGCAAGCGUUAAUCGGAAUUACUGGGCGUAAAGCGCGCGUAGGUGGUUCGUUAAGUUGGAUGUGAAAUCCCCGGGCUCAACCUGGGAACUGCAUCCAAAACUGGCGAGCUAGAGUAUGGUAGAGGGUGGUGGAAUUUCCUGUGUAGCGGUGAAAUGCGUAGAUAUAGGAAGGAACACCAGUGGCGAAGGCGACCACCUGGACUGAUACUGACACUGAGGUGCGAAAGCG
rnacentral:rRNA from 1 species